GACGGAGGAUGCAAGCGUUAUCCGGAAUUAUUGGGCGUAAAGCGUCCGCAGGUGGCUGUUCAAGUCCGCUGUCAAAGCGCAGAGCUUAACUCUGUACAGGCGGUGGAAACUGAAGAGCUAGAGUAUGGUAGGGGUAGAGGGAAUUCCCGGUGUAGCGGUGAAAUUCGUAGAUAUCGGGAGGAACACCGGUGGCGAAGGCGGCGACCUGGGUAGAUACUGACGCUGAGGUGCGAAAGCGUGGGGAGCAAACAGG
rnacentral:rRNA from 1 species